GCCAGGCAUGGUGGCAUGCACCUGUAGUCCCAGCUACUUGAGAGGCUGAAGUAGGAGGAUGGCUUGAGCCCAGGAAUUCUGGGCCAUAGUGUGCUAUUAUGAUCAAGUGUCUGCACUAACCUUGGAUUCAAUAUGGUGACCUCCCUGGAGUGAGGGACCACCAAGUUAGCUGGAUAGAGCAGCUGAGGUAGGAAAUGGAGCAGGUUAAAACUCCCAUGCUGAUCAGUAGUGGGAUUGCACCUGUGUAUAGCCACUCCACUUCAACCUAGACAACAUAGAAAGAUACUGCCUCUUU
ensembl:misc_RNA Metazoa_SRP Metazoan signal recognition particle RNA